rnacentral:rRNA from 1 species
UUUUAUUUGAGAGUUUGAUCCUGGCUCAGGAUGAACGCUGGCGGCGUGCCUAACACAUGCAAGUUGAGCGAUUUACUUCGGUAAAGAGCGGCGGACGGGUGAGUAACGCGUGGGUAACCUACCCUGUACACCCGGAUAACAUACCGGAAGGUACGAUAAUACGGAAUAAUAUAUUUGAGAGGAAUCUCGUGAAUAUCAAAGGUGAGCCAGUACAGGAUGGACCCGCGUCUGAUUAGCUAGUUGGUAAGGUAACGGCUUACCAAGGCGACGAUCAGUAGCCGACCUGAGAGGGUGAUCGGCCACAUUGGAACUGAGACACGGUCCAAACUCCUACGGGAGGCAGCAGUGGGGAAUAUUGCACAAU